GACGAAGGUGGCGAGCGUUACUCGGAAUUACUAGGCGUAAAGCAUGGGCAGGCGGUUCGGCAAGUCUGUUGUGAAAGCUCCUGGCUUAACCGGGAGAGGUCAAUGGAUACUACCGGGCUUGAAUCGGGGAGAGGUCACUGGAAUUCCUGGUGUAGCGGUGAAAUGCGUAGAGAUCAGGAGGAACACCAAUGGCGAAGGCGGCUUUGUGGACGGUAACUGACGCUGAGACGCGAAAGCGUGGGGAGCAAACAGG
rnacentral:rRNA from 1 species